UGCAGUCGAACGAUGAACCCCGCUUGCGGGGGGAUUAGUGGCGAACGGGUGAGUAACACGUGAGUAACCUGCCCUUAACUCUGGGAUAAGCCUUGGAAACGGGGUCUAAUACUGGAUAUUGACUUUUCCUCGCAUGGGGAUUGGUUGAAAGAUUUAUUGGUUUUGGAUGGACUCGCGGCCUAUCAGCUUGUUGGUGAGGUAAUGGCUCACCAAGGCGACGACGGGUAGCCGGCCUGAGAGGGUGACCGGCCACACUGGGACUGAGACACGGCCCAGACUCCUACGGGAGGCAGCAGUGGGGAAUAUUGCACAAUGGGCGAAAGCCUGAUGCAGCGACGCCGCGUGAGGGAUGACGGCCUUCGGGUUGUAAACCUCUUUCAGUAGGGAACAAGGCCAGUGUUUAGCUGGUUGAGGGUACUUGCAGAAGAAGCGCCGGCUAACUACGUGCCAGCAGCCGCGGUAAUACGUAGGGCGCAAGCGUUAUCCGGAAUUAUUGGGCGUAAAGAGCUCGUAGGCGGUUUGUCGCGUCUGCCGUGAAAGUCCGGGGCUCAACCCCGGAUCUGCGGUGGGUACGGGCAGACUAGAGUGAUGUAGGGGAGACUGGAAUUCCUGGUGUAGCGGUGAAAUGCGCAGAUAUCAGGAGGAACACCGAUGGCGAAGGCAGGUCUCUGGGCAUUAACUGACGCUGAGGAGCGAAAGCAUGGGGAGCGAACAGGAUUAGAUACCCUGGUAGUCCAUGCCGUAAACGUUGGGCACUAGGUGUGGGGGACAUUCCACGUUUUCCGCGCCGUAGCUAACGCAUUAAGUGCCCCGCCUGGGGAGUACGGCCGCAAGGCUAAAACUCAAAGGAAUUGACGGGGGCCCGCACAAGCGGCGGAGCAUGCGGAUUAAUUCGAUGCAACGCGAAGAACCUUACCAAGGCUUGACAUGAACUGGAAACACCUGGAAACAGGUGCCCCGCUUGCGGUCGGUUUACAGGUGGUGCAUGGUUGUCGUCAGCUCGUGUCGUGAGAUGUUGGGUUAAGUCCCGCAACGAGCGCAACCCUCGUUCUAUGUUGCCAGCACGUUAUGG
rnacentral:rRNA from 1 species